GAAAUGAUUGUCUGGUUGGUUAUGUGUGUAUCUACACAGCAUCUAUUGUCAAUCUGAUAUGCUUCAUGAGUAUUUCUAUCAUACAGGCAUCCGAUGCUGACCAAUAACGAUGUGAAUGAUGUGAACCCUGAGCAGUCCCUCCACGUUUGUGCGUUUUCAUGACUCACCGGUACAAUAAUGACUGUACCAGAGCGGCGGAUAAAAGGGCUCACGUUGACUGUGAAGAGGAGAGAGAUAGGCGAGUGGGCUGAGCUCACUCUGACACCUCUGUCUCAGAGCUCUUCUGCUGCUCAGAGCAAACACACCUACCAAGAGGACUGCGCCAUGAUAAUCCCGGCAAAGGCAUGGCUGGCUUUCAGCCUGGGAGAGGACGUGUGGCGAGAAAAGGACCAUUUGGGACAGUAUUUAAGGAUCUGCUGAACCAGGUGGAUGGAGCAGCAGGAGACUUCCACUUUGCCGAUGCCCCCUUCAGAAAUAUACCAUUGACUCUUAUAAAGUGAACCUAAUGAAGGUUCUGUACCUUUUCACAAGUCAUACCUGUCAUAAAAACUCAUACACCAUCUUUUUUUUUGCUUGAAAUAAGCCACAAUUGUUUUUUUUCCACCCAUGUUUUUGACUAACUUGCAGUGACCUACCUAAAUGCACAUCAUUCAUUUUGUUUUACCAUAUGACAGGUUUCCAGUUUGUGUAUUGACCUACCCUCAGAAACUGAUUUCAUUUGGUGACAUAGAUGUUUGUAGUUUUUCCUCUAGCACCACAUGAAUUCAGUGUUCUUAUGGUGGACAAGCAGCCCAUACAGUAUAAACUAUGAACAGUUAAAAAGUAGAUCAUAAAGGACUUCUCACAGUUGUGGUCCUAUUGCUUAUUUUUGUUCAUUUGCAUUUUAACUAGAAAAAAAACCAACGCAAAUCUUGUUCUGUUUUUGUUGAGCAGGCUGUGUGUGUCUUUUAGACAGAUCAGAAAAUUAUUCUAACUUCCAGUUAUGGUGACUCAUAUUUGAGUCAGCUCCUCCGGUGUGGGGCUGCACGGUGGUGCAGUGCUUUCACAGCAAGAUGGUCGUGGUUUGCAUGUUGCCCAAGGUGUGAUUGUGUGGCCCUGCAAAAGACUUCACCUGCAACAGGGGAAGGUGGGGAACACCACACCUUCAUCUAACAGUGGCCUGGUUGGCUCAAGCUACCCUCUGACCCUAAAAGGGAUUCAGAGGGUUCCGAAGAUUGAUGGAUGGAUGGAUGCGCCUGUGUGCAGGAAGAAGCUCUGGGCUUCAGGACUUUUUGCUGGCCUGAGGCUUGUUCAACGUUCAUUUUAAUAAAUCGCAGCAUAAAAGCUACUUUGUUAACUAUGACACCAAUUUUCUUCAUCAUAGCAUUUUAUAUCAUUUAAAUCUAUUGGUGGAUCCCCUACUUACCAUCAUCAUUGUAGGCAAAAUAAAACCACAUAAAACUAUGAAAGAAGACAAUGUUAGAUUUUUUUCAAACAGUUUGUAGGCAAAAAAAAUUGAUUUUAUAUGGUACCACUUCUAAAGAGAUUGUAUCUUGGAAAAACUGCUGAGAAAGCCAUGAGAAAAAAUUUUAUUUCUGUGUUUGUGUUCUGAAAUGUUUGAUGCUCUAAGUGGAUUUUACUUUACAACAAAGGGAAAUUGUGUUAAGUACACACAAAAUCCAAAACCUUUUUUGCAAAUGUCAAAAAAUAAAAAGACAUAACUUUAGUCGCCAGUCUCAUUGUUUGCAGGGUUUUAUCACAUUUCAAAAGAGUUCUGCUUAGGUCUUGUUAGAAUUUCUUACAAGUAUUUACCAUGUGGACGCUAUAUUGGAACUAUCAAGAACCUAAUGAAUUGAUCUGUCAUUUUUGUGGCAGCUACUGAAAUUGUAUUGUCAGUUCCUCCAUUUUUGUAUUUCUUUUUUCAAUCUGUCUUAAUGUUUGCUAAUAAAGGUGACUAACAGGA